CUAAGCAUCCGUUGCUAUGGAGACGUAGCCAGUCCGCUUUGCGAUUGGGUGAUUUCUUUAGUGAUUUCUCAUUGCGCUCUGUCCAGAGAUGCCAGGAAGUUCAAAGAAAAUGUGCCCAGGGUGCAACACCCUAAUAAGUGUUGCAUACAAGGCUUGCCCACUUUGCGAACAACUCCGGCCAUAUAAAGCGAAAGUUGCAGCGAAGAGAUGCAACUUUCAAAAUAGAAAAAAUGAAUGGAAGGAGUCAGUCAAGAAAAACAAAAACAGGACUGUUGUUCUCAAUAGCAGCCAUGUGUUGCUUGACAAACUUGCUGCCCUUGAUUUUUUCCCCAUACUACUUUUAGGGAAGAAGUGCAAAGGAAGCUUGGUGGCCGAUGUCAUCCUAAGAGGGGAUUAUAUUUUGGAUCCUGAUUUGCUUCAGAGGGUUAAACUUAUGUAUGAAGCUGUGCUAAAGAGUAAGUCUUUUUUUACAAAUAUGAAGUUCUGGAUUAAUCUGAAAACACUGGUAACCCUAAGGAACCCAAAGGAAUGUGAACCCACAAGUAUCAUUAUCUUUAUUUUUCUAUUGAUGCA
ensembl:lncRNA